AUGUCGAAGGCAGAAAGGGAGAUGGGAUUGUUGCUCGCUAAUGCCCAAAGAGAAGCAUCAAAGGACGGGAGUCUGAAUGUGGAAAAAACAAAGGAGAUUGUGGUGAACCACAGGAGGAACAAGUCCCCACCUUCUCCUGUCUGCAUCAAUGGGAGCGCUGGAGACAUUGUGGAACAGUACAAGUAUCUGGGCUUUGUAUCACUGUGGUACACGUUCGGUGGAGGAACCAGACUGGAUGUUGGAAGUGAUGUCCGUCCCACCCUGACGGUGCUGCCCCCCUCCAGCCAGGAGCUGCAGCAAGGGAAGGCCACGCUCACAUGUCUGGCCAACAAGGGCUUCCCCUCAGACUGGAGUCUGGCCUGGAAGGUGGACGGCAGCAGCAGCAGCAGCAGCUGGGAGCAGAGCAGGAGCCCCGGGGUGCUGCAGGAGGAUGGCCGCUACAGCUGGAGCAGCACCCUGAGGCUCACUGCAGACCAGUGGGGGAAGGUGGGCUCUGUGACCUGUGAGGCCACCCAGGGCUCCCAGACUCCACUCUCAGAGACACUGAGGAGAGACCAGUGUUCUCAGUCCUGA